rnacentral:lncRNA from 1 species
CUCCCAGAACAAGAAAUAAAACACUGGAAGAAGGCAAUGGAGGAGGAAUACCAGCAGCUUAAACGCCUCCACAUAUUUAAAGAAGUGAAACUUCCUCCAAAUAAUAAACCAAUAGGAACUAAAUGAGUAUAUAGAUUAAAGCAGAAUCCAGANGGUUCAUUAAGAUAUAAAGCGAGACUGGUGGCACUUGGAUGUUCUCAGAAAUCCAANUUUGAACAAACAUUUGCCCCAACUGCUAGUGCAGCAUCUAUCAGAACUUUAUUGGCAAUAGNAGCUCAGAAUAAUCUGAAUGUUCACCAUUAUGAUUUUCAAACUGCUUAUUUGAAUGCUCCACUGCANGAAGAUAUUUACGUUAAGUUACCUGCUGGAUAUAAUGAAAACAAAGAUCCAGACACUGUUUGGAAGUUGGAGCGAUCUUUAUAUGGUUUACGCCAAUCUGGGCACAACUGGCACGUUUGCAUAACAGAUGCUUUGCAUACCUUGGGUUUUAGGCCAUCCGUUGCUGACCCUUGUUUAUUUACUAGGGGAAAAGGGCAUAAUUUAAUACUUUUGGCCUUGUACGUAGAUGACCUCAUUUCAGUGACAUCAUCUGAGGAAUUAAAUCAGAGAUUAUGUCAUGAACUUGGCAACAUAUUCAACAAUGAUCUUGGCAAUUUAAGCCGUUAUCUUGGCAUAAACAUAUCUUAUGAUCUAGAUACGGGUUAUUCACUAUCUCAGGAGGAUAAAAUACAAAAUUUAAUUGAUAGUGCAAAUAUGAAAGAUGCCAAGAUAGUGCAUAUGCCCAUGAUNUCUAAUUUUGGAAAAUUAGAAACCCAGACUGAACCAUUUGAAAACCCAGAUUUAUUUAGAUCUCUGAUGGGUAGUCUUAUGCAUAUAGCUUUGUGGACANGACCUGACAUAGCGUUUGCAGUUAACCUAUUAAGUAGGCAUGUUCACGAACCAACUACGAAGGAUUGGCGUGCAUUAAAAAGAAUAUUAAGAUACUUGAAGGGCACAAAGGAUUACAUAUAGUACAUAAAUCCCAGAAAAAAUCAGGACAUACAUGUGUGGGUUGAUAGUUCAUUUGCUGAGGAGAUUAUUGAUAGGAAGUCAACCUCAGGUUACUUGACUAAUUAUGCUGAUGCUCCAAUUACUUGGCCUUCAAGGAAACAACCUACUGUCAGCCUUUCAACCUCCAAGGCUGAGUACGGAGCUUUAUCUGAUUGUUGCAAGGAAUUGAUUUGGAUUAANCAAUUAUUGACUGACUUGAAACAUCCUUGUAAAUUACCUAUUCAGAUAUAUGAGGAUUCUCAAACGUGUAUUGUAC